rnacentral:rRNA from 1 species
GGGUGCUCAGCGCCCGACCUCCAACCCUUUGUUGUUAAAACUACCUUGUUGCUUUGGCGGGACCGCUCGGUCUCGAGCCGCUGGGGAUUCGUCCCAGGCGAGUGCCCGCCAGAGUUAAACCAAACUCUUGUUAUUAAACCGGUCGUCUGAGUUAAAAUUUUGAAUAAAUCAAAACUUUCAACAACGGAUCUCUUGGUUCUCGCAUCGAUGAAGAACGCAGCGAAAUGCGAUAAGUAAUGUGAAUUGCAGAAUUCAGUGAAUCAUCGAAUCUUUGAACGCACAUUGCGCCCCUUGGUAUUCCGAGGGGCAUGCCUGUUCGAGCGUCAUUACACCACUCAAGCUAUGCUUGGUAUUGGGUGCCGUCCUUAGUUGGGCGCGCCUUAAAGACCUCGGCGAGGCCUCACCGGCUUUAGGCGUAGUAGAAUUUAUUCAAUUAACGUCUGUCAAUGGAGAGGACUUCUGCCGACUGAAACCUUUAUUUUUUACAGGUUGACCUCGGAUCAGGUAGGGAUACCCGCUGAACUUAAGCAUAUCAAUAAGCGGAGGAAAAGAAACCAACAGGGAUUGCCCUAGUAACGGCGAGUGAAGCGGCAAC